UGGACCCCACCGCCCCCCCUCCCCAACACACACAUCUCUGAGAAAGAAGAAGUGGCAGCCAGAACAGGGAACCAGAAGCCAAAACAAGGGAUGAAGGCAAGGGUCGCUUACGACCACGCCCCCACCCACACUUGACCCAGUGGGUCGAGGGGGAUUUUGAUACAGUGGCAGCUGGGAAGCCAAGAACAGAAAGCCUUUAAUCCGUGCAACCUAAUGCCAAGAUUCCGCCAGAGAGAGCCCAUUUCCUGCGCUGUCUGCACAUUCCUCCCAUUCUUCCCGAGCACCUUCUCCCAGUGACCCCUCUCCAUGCAGCCUCUGUUCUCCCCCCACGGCUAACUGCUCCUUUCUUCUAGAAAACAAGUCCUGUGGCCAGAAGGAUUCCAUAUACUUCUGCUUUCUCUUCGAGAUCCCCAGGUCCUUAGGAGCUUUUCCUUUCUCCUCCGCAUCGUAGCCACUUUUAAGGUCCCUGCCCAGACCACGACUCUCGGAACCGUUGGCCAUACCAGCAGAGUGAGGCCCCAACACUGUGUUUAUACUUCGUGACCCCAGACGUGGACUGUAGGUGACUGCACAAGAGAUGGACAGCUGUCCAGGUGAGCCAAUCUGAUUCUCCCUCCCCAGAAUUUGAAACUGGGUCAGGUUGGGUCAAAGUUGGUCUCUGUUAGACCUGAGGUAGUCAUACUGGCUCAGAGGACAGAGAGGUCAGAGCACCAGGCCCUCCCCCGGCUCCCCUCUGCACCCUUACCGUGUUCCCCUACAAUAUAUUGCCCCCAUUAAAAGUUUUUUUUAAUGGUUAUUUGUUUUUGAGAAAGAGAGCACAAGCAGAGGAGGGGCAGAGGAAGAAGGGGACAGGGGACCCGAAGCAGGCUCUGUGCUGACAGCAGACAGCCCAACAUGGGGCUCAAACUCAUGUAUCACAAGGUC
rnacentral:lncRNA from 1 species